rnacentral:rRNA from 1 species
GCUAUACAUGCAAGUCGAGCGAAUGAUGAGGAGCUUGCUCCUCUGAUUUAGCGGCGGACGGGUGAGUAACACGUGGGCAACCUGCCCUGUAGACUGGGAUAACUUCGGGAAACCGGAGCUAAUACCGGAUAAUCCGUUUCACCUCAUGGUGAAAUGUUGAAAGACGCUUUCGGGCGUCACUACAGGAUGGGCCCGCGGUGCAUUAGCUAGUUGGUGGGGUAACGGCCUACCAAGGCGACGAUGCAUAGCCGACCUGAGAGGGUGAUCGGCCACAUUGGGACUGAGACACGGCCCAAACUCCUACGGGAGGCAGCAGUAGGGAAUCUUCCACAAUGGACGAAAGUCUGGAUGGAGCAACGCCGCGUGAGUGAUGAAGGUUUUCGGAUCGUAAAACUCUGUUGUAAGGGAAGAACAAGUACGUUAGGAAAUGAACGUACCUUGACGGUACCUUAUUAGAAAGCCACCGCUAACUACGUGCCAGCAGCCGCGGUAAUACGUAGGUGGCAAGCGUUGUCCGGAUUUAUUAGGCUUAAAGCGCGCCCAGGUGGUUUCUUAAGUCUGAUGUGAAAGCCCACGGCUCAACCGUGGAGGGUCAUUGGAAACUGGGAGACUUGAGUGCAGAAAAGAUAGUGGAAUUCCAAGUGUAGCGGUGAAAUGCAUAUAGAUUUGGAGGAAGACCAAUGGCGAAGGCGUAUGUCUGGUCUGUAACUGACACUGAGGCGACGAAAGCGUGGGGAGCAAACAGGAUGAGAUACCCUGGUAGUCCACGCCGUAAACGAUGAGUGCUAAGUGUUAGGGGGUUUCCGCCCAUUAGUGCUGGAGCUAACGCAUUAAGCACUCCGCCUGGGGAGUACGCCCGCAAGGUUGAAACUCAAAGGAAUUGACGGGGGCCCGCACAAGCGGUGGAGCAUGUGGUUUAAUUCGAAGCAACGCGAAGAACCUUACCAGGUCUUGACAUCCCAGUGACCGCUCUAGAGAUAGAGU